AAUUUGAAACUUCGUAAAAAGAUAUACUAUUGAAAUACAAGAAAACUAAUUUCAGAGUUUUUGAAAAUUCAUCCCCUAAGGUGGUGAAAAAGGGGUUGAAAGUUUGUAUGGACAUCAAACAUUUUUUCUAGUGCGGGACUUGAAUCUUUGUAUUUGGGGAUAUUAUUAGAAGACAAGAAAAGUAAUUUCAGCGUUUUGUAAAAUUCAUCCCCUAACAUGGUUAAAAAGGGGUUGAAAGUUUGAAUCCAUUACAAAUGCUUUGAAACUUCUUAGAAAGGCAUAACAGCCGAUCACAAAAAAAAGUAAUCGCAUCGUUUUUGGAAAUUAAACCCCUAAGAGGGUUAAAAAGGGGAUGAAAGUUCGUUUUGGGGUGCAAAUUUUAUUUUAAGCUAGUAACUUGAAACUUUGCAAAAAGGUAUUAAAUUAAAAUACAGGAAAAGUAAUUUCAGCGUUUUUGGAAAUUCAGCCCUUAAGGUGGUUAAAAAGGGGAUGAAAGUUCGUCUUGGGGUGCAAAUUUUAUUUUAAGCAAGGAACUUGAAACUUUGCAAAAAGGUAUUAAAUUAAAAUACAGGAAAAUUUCAGGGUUUUUGAAAAUUCAGCCCCUAAGGUGGUAAAAAAGGGGUUGAAAGUUUGUAUGGAUAUCAAACAUUUUUUCGAGCGCGGGACUUGAAUCUUUGUAUUUUGGGAUAUUAUUAGAAGACAAGAAAAGUAAUUUCAGCGUUUUGUAAAAUUCAUCUCCUAACAGGGUUAAAAAGGGGUUGAAAGUUUGAAUCCAUUACAAAUGCUUUGAAACUUCUUAGAAAGGCAUAACAGCCGAUUACAAAAAAAAGUUAUUGCAACGUUUUUGGAAAUUCAAGCCCUAAGGGGGUUAAAAAGGGGAUGAAAGUUCGUCUUGGGGUGUAAAUUUU